AUUAGAUCUAGGUAGUUCAAGCCUUCAAGGACAAUCCAUAAAUUAAAUUAAAUAACAAAAAAAUGAAUUUAACUAAGAGUCCUGAUAGGUCCCUUAAGUAAGUUCAUAAGACACAUAAUACUGUACGCAAUAGCAAUAAGUGAUAUUGCUGGUUCACUUCUUCAUUGCUAAAAAAUAUCAACGCAAAAGUUUUUGUACUAUGCAAAUUUCCAUAUAAUUUCUAAGAACCCAAAAUUUUAAGUUUAACAUUAAGAAUUUAAGACUGAAAAAUUGAACAUAUUUACCUAAUAAAAGGAACUCUAUUUAGCAAUUUUGGACAUCCAAUUUCAAUUAAAGCCUUUCAUCAUCGGCAAGAAGAGUUGAAAUCCUAUAUUCAUAAAUUCCUAUGCAAUUUGAUUAAAACCCUAAUGACCAUUUCUGAUUUCAUCACCAAUUUUAUAAUUAAAAUUCAAAGUCAUAAAUCUCUUUCCAUCAAGUUAAUAUUAAUAAGUUAAAUUUGACAAUAAAUUAUUGAAAAUAAAAAUUAAAUAUAUUAAAACAUGCAUUGCAGAUGCAAAACAUAGAACAGCAAUUAGAUUUCCCACUAAAAUCCCUUUCAUCAACACCAUCUAAUCUUCUACUCCCCCAAAUUCACUUUGGAACACAAAGGUUUCAAUUAAAUGCAAGAUUAACUGCAUCCACUAAUCAUUUAGAUUCCUUCCAAAAAUACAUUACACUUUACUUGCUUAACAUUCAUUUUAAACCAAAUCCUAGA
rnacentral:misc_RNA from 1 species